GACAGAGGGUGCAAACGUUGUUCGGAAUUACUGGGCGUAAGGCGCGUGUAGGCGGCUCUGCAAGUCGGAUGUGAAAUCCCACGGCUCAACCAUGGAAGUGCAUUCGAAACUGCAGGGCUAGAGUCCUGGAGAGGAAGGUGGAAUGCUUGGUGUAGAGGUGAAAUUCGUAGAUAUCAAGCGGAACACCGGUGGCGAAGGCGGCCUUCUGGACAGUGACUGACGCUGAGACGCGAAAGCGUGGGGAGCAAACAGG
rnacentral:rRNA from 1 species